rnacentral:SRP_RNA from 1 species
GCCGGGUGUGGUGGCGAGUGCCUGUAAUCCCAGCUACUUAGGAGGCUGAGGCAGGAGAAUCACUUGAACCUGGGAGGCGGAGGUUGCAGUGAGCCGAGAUCGUGCCACUGCACUCCAGCCUAGGUGACAGAGCGAGACUCUGUCUCAA